GACAAUAUGGCUGAGUGGUGUAAAGCACUGUGCUUACUUCACGGCCUCACCAGUUGGUGUGGGUUUGAAUCACACUUCUGACA
rnacentral:tRNA from 1 species